rnacentral:rRNA from 1 species
UACGAAGGGGGCUAGCGUUGUUCGGAAUUACUGGGCGUAAAGCGUGCGCAGGCGGCUGCUCAAGUCAGGGGUGAAAGCCCAGAGCUCAACUCUGGAAUUGCCUUUGAGACUGAGUGGCUUGAGUACGGGAGAGGUGAGUGGAAUUCCCAGUGUAGAGGUGAAAUUCGUAGAUAUUCGCAAGAACACCAGUGGCGAAGGCGGCUCACGUGGUCCGGUACUGACGCUGAGGUGCGAAAGCGUGGGGAGCAAACAGG